rnacentral:lncRNA from 1 species
UUUCAGAAUCUCACGCCUUCUUCCUUUGUUCUUCCUUCACUCCAGAACCCUUCUUCUUCAUUCUUUCAGAAUCGCAAGCGGACCUCUGGCCACUGUGGCAACCUUCGUUCUUCGUGUUGCCACAGGCGUGAAUGAGCUUGAUGGGUGAAUCGAGCACACCACUUUCAGGAUAAAAUCGGGCAAGCGAAUUUUGGGCGAAAUUUGGGGAAUAAUUGAGGGUUUUAAGGGAGAGUUAAAGAAUUCUUGUGUUCUUCGAUUUCCGUAAGUUUCCUCAUGUUUUUGAAUUGUGUAAUCCAUAAUUCUUGAAUUCUUAUGUUUAUGAUGAUAUGUAAUUUUUUUUUUUCGGCCCUAAAAAGCCACGUAGGGAUCGUAUUAGGAUUUUCGUAGAUCUACUUCACGAUUUUGAUGUCGAAAUUUUUUUCCGGAAUAAAAAUAAGAAAAAAUUGAUACGUUGAAUACUUCUAUGCAUUUAUCGGAACAAUAAGAUAUAUUCGUUAAAAUGCUAAUACAUUGAGACAUAAAGUAAUAUUUAUUAUUUUUUAUUUUAUUAAAUUGUUUAAAAGAAAUUGAUUGUCAAGUCACACGUCAGUAUGUCACAGUGCGCAUCCAUGAUUAUAAAUAAAAAGCAAAUUUUUUUUUGGCAGGCACAAAUAAUUCAGUUUUGAUACAUAAAUUUCUCUUAAUUUUUUUGCAUUUACCUAAGGGCCAUUUUCAUUAAAUGCUAAAAUGAUUAGAUAAAAAGAAUUGGGUAAAUAUCAAUUUUUGGCCCAUCGUUUGGGCUUUUCUCAAAUAUAUCCCACCCUAAGCAUAAUUACAAAACAAUAUCCAUCAUUUCAUUUUUUCUUGUUUAUGGCCCGCAAAAAUAUUCCGACCAUCGGUAAAUGACGUGUUCUGGCCAAGUGCCAUGACAGCUUCACAAAGCAUAAUUACAAAGCAAUAUUGUUGUUGUCUUAAACCUAAAUAUGGAACUUGAUUAAGUGCAUAUCUGCUACGCUUCACAAAAAUAAUACCAGCUUUAGAAAUCAUUGUCUUUGGACGAAAUUGUGCCAGCAGCUUGUUUUAAGUUGUCCAACUUUUGGAUUUUGAGUUUGUCGAACACUUCGUUAAUAAAACUUAUCAUGACUCCUACGUAUUGUCAUUCUUAAAAUUUUCAAAGUUUGCUUUGUAAACUUACAGUCAAAUAUGGUAAUCUAGUUUCAUCCCUACAAUCUGCUCAGUGGCGAAGAUGUGGAGACGGCGAACUGUCUCUCCCCUUGGGCGGUGGAGAAGGCGAUGGGCUGACCGUUGAAGGAGAGGGAGAAACGGUCGACGGCAUCGUCCCAUGCGGCGGUUUUCUGGGCGGCAAUGAAGAGGCAGUGAUCACCGAAGAGAAGGGCGAAGGGUUGAAUCCAAGUGAAGUCUCUCUUCACGAUUUAUUGUUGAAAGAUUGAAGAAAGAAGUUAGGAUUUAAUUAAUUAAUGACGUGUUUCUUAUAUUUAUUUUUUUAUUUUAUAAUUUCAAGUGUACUGUUGACAUGGCACUUGACCGAAACAUAUCAUUUAUCUAUGGUCGGAAUAUUUUACGGGGCA